rnacentral:rRNA from 1 species
AUUGAACGCUGGCGGCAGGCCUAACACAUGCAAGUCGAACGAGUGGCGGACGGGUGAGUAAUGUCUGGGACACUGCCUGAUGGAGGGGGAUAACUACUGGACACGGUAGCUAAUACCGCAUACCAUCGGAUGUGCCCAGAUGGUAUUAGCUAGUAGGUGGGGUAAAGGCUCACCUAGGCGACGAUCCCUAGCUGGUCUGAGAGGAUGACCGGCCAAACUGGAACGGAGACCACGGCCAGACUCCUACGGGGGGCAUCAGGGGGGAAUAUUGCACAAUGGGCGAAAGCCUGAUACAGCCAUGCCGCGUGUAUGAAGAAGGCCUUCGGGUUGUAAAGUACUUUCAGCGGGGAGGCGUUACCCGCAGAAGAAGCACCGGCUAACUCCGUGCCAGCAGCCGCGGUAAUUC